rnacentral:tRNA from 2 species
GCAGUCGUGGCCGAGUGGUUAAGGCGAUGGACUGGAAAUCCAUUGGGGUCUCCCCGCACAGGUUCGAAUCCUGUCGACUGCG